rnacentral:rRNA from 1 species
CAGCCGCCGCGGUAAUACGAAGGGUGCAAGCGUUAAUCGGAAUUACUGGGCGUAAAGCGUGCGUAGGCGGUGAGUUAAGUCUGCUGUGAAAUCCCCGGGCUCAACCUGGGAAUGGCAGUGGAUACUGGCUCGCUAGAGUGUGUCAGAGGAUGGUGGAAUUCCCGGUGUAGCGGCGAAAUGCGUAGAGACCGGGAGGAACAUCAGUGGCGAAGGCGGCCAUCUGGGACAACACUGACGCUGAGGCACGAAAGCGUGGGGAGCAAACAGGAUUAGAUACCCGAGUAGUCCCUGUCUCUUAUAC